UACGUAGGGGGCUAGCGUUGUCCGGAAUCAUUGGGCGUAAAGCGCGUGUAGGCGGCCCGGUAAGUCCGCUGUGAAAGUCGGGGGCUCAACCCUCGAAAGCCGGUGGAUACUGUCGGGCUAGAGUACGGAAGGGGCGAGUGGAAUUCCUGGUGUAGCGGUGAAAUGCGCAGAUAUCAGGAGGAACACCCAUUGCGAAGGCAGCUCGCUGGGACGUUACUGACGCUGAGACGCGAAAGCGUGGGGAGCAAACAGG
rnacentral:rRNA from 1 species